CGUGAUUGCUUGAUAAACUCAUGUGCAUGUUGGUAUGCCACACAUCAACAAGGGAGAAAUUCUUAACCUCACGAGACUUUCUUUCUUUCGUUUAUUUGGUGAGGAAGCAAAGCUUGGCACUUUUCACGGAAACAUAUGAAAAUAAAAACUUGGUUGAGGAACAGAAGGAACCCUUGAACAAGAUUCAGGGAGGAUGGUGUACCACUUGAUUAUUGCUGGCAUUUUACUGCAGCUGCUGCAGGGAGGUGGAAGAAAGGCCAAUGCACUUGCAGCAAUCACAGGUCACAAGAAAUCAAGAUUUCAAUCAAAUGAAGCAGCAACUUACCUGCAAAGCAUAUCUUGGAAAAUCAUCAUUUGGAGAUGGAACGACAAAAUGCAGAGUGCAAUCAAAAGAAUUGCAAACAAAGAGAUGCAAAAAUGGUGUUUGAUGGCAAAAAUGCAGAAAAUACAGUGAGAGAAUUUCGGGACACAAUUCAUGAGCAAAAGGAAUUAAAUAAUCGUUAUUCCAUGUCGCCAACACCCGUGAUUGAAAUUGUGGUUGGCAUAACUGCCUUCAUAGUCACAAUAAUUACAUGUUCUUGCUGUUCAAACUGCUGCAAAACAACAAACACUCAGAGGUAAGAAUCCAAAAGUUGCAAUAAAAACUCUUGAAUUGUUUUAAAUUUUCCAUUUUACUCCCACUGGCUUAUUUGAUAUGUACA
rnacentral:lncRNA from 1 species